AAUAAGCUUAUGGCUAUAAAAGAGGACAGAAAGGUAGGAUUUAGGUAUCAAGGAAAUCAAUUAGGAUUCACCAUCUUGGUGAGGGAAGCACUGUGUGCUUAGGGGAUGAUUGGUAUUCACCAUCAGUUGUUACUUUCAUUAUUAUUUUACAAUCGAUUUCUUUUAUUAUUCCAUUCAAUUAUUCUCUAUUUCUCCCAUAUAUUCAUAUAAGAACCUAACAAUUGGUCCGACCUACCGGAUCAAAAAAA
rnacentral:lncRNA from 1 species